UACGUAGGGCGCAAGCGUUGUCCGGAAUUAUUGGGCGUAAAGAGCUCGUAGGCGGCUUGUCACGUCGGGUGUGAAAGCCCGGGGCUUAACCCCGGGUCUGCAUUCGAUACGGGCUAGCUAGAGUGUGGUAGGGGAGAUCGGAAUUCCUGGUGUAGCGGUGAAAUGCGCAGAUAUCAGGAAGAACACCCGUGGCGAAAGCGGCUCUCUGGAACGGUACUGACGCUGAGACGCGAAAGCGUGGGGAGCGAACAGG
rnacentral:rRNA from 1 species